rnacentral:rRNA from 1 species
AACUGACCUAGCGGCGGACGGGUGAGUAAUGCUUAGGAAUCUGCCAUUUAGUGGGGGACAACAUUCCGAAAGGAAUGCUAAUACCGCAUACGUCCUACGGGAGAAAGCAGGGGAUCUUCGGACCUUGCGCUAAAUGAUGAGCCUAAGUCGGAUUAGCUAGUUGGUGGGGUAAAGGCCUACCAAGGCGACGAUCUGUAGCGGGUCUGAGAGGAUGAUCCGCCACACUGGGACUGAGACACGGCCCAGACUCCUACGGGAGGCAGCAGUGGGGAAUAUUGGACAAUGGGCGCAAGCCUGAUCCAGCCAUGCCGCGUGUGUGAAGAAGGCCUUUUGGUUGUAAAGCACUUUAAGCGAGGAGGAGGCUACCUAGAUUAAUACUCUAGGAUAGUGGACGUUACUC